CCUACGUGGCGCAGCAGUGGGGAAUAUUGCACAAUGGGGGAAACCCUGAUGCAGCAACGCCGCGUGAGCGAUGACGGCCUUCGGGUGGUAAAGUCCUGCCUUCAGGGACGAUAAUGACGGUACCUGCGGAGGAAGCCACGGCUAACUCCGUGCCAGCAGCCGCGGUAAUACGUAGGUGGCGAGCGUUGUCCGGAUUCAUUGGGCGUAAAGGGUGCGUAGGCGGACUGUAAAGUGAGAUGUGAAAUACUCGGGCUCAACUUGUGUGCUGCAUUUCAUACUGGAAGUCUGGAGUGCAGGAGAGGAGAAUGGAAUUCCUAGUGUAGCGGUGAAAUGCGUAGAGAUUAGGAAGAACACCAGUGGCGAAGGCGAUUCACUGGACUGUAACUGACGCUGAGGCUCGAAAGCGUGGGGAGCAAACGGGAUUAGGUACCCCUGUAGUC
rnacentral:rRNA from 1 species